UACAGAGGGGGCAAGCGUUAUUCGGAAUUAUUGGGCGUAAAGGGCGCGUAGGCGGCUUUUCAAGUGACGGGUGAAAUCCCUCGGCUUAACCGAGGAACUGCCUGUCAGACUGGAAGGCUUGAGACCGGGAGAGAUGAGUGGAAUUCCCAGUGUAGCGGUGAAAUGCGUAGAUAUUGGGAGGAACACCAGUGGCGAAGGCGGCUCACUGGACCGGAACUAACGCUGAGGCGCGAAAGCGUGGGGAGCGAACAGG
rnacentral:rRNA from 1 species